UGGGGUGUGGCUCAGGGAUAGAGUGCUUGCCUAGCAUGCACUGACGCUCUGGGUUGAAUUCCCAGCACCAAAA
rnacentral:tRNA from 1 species